AGAGUUUGAUCAUGGCUCAGGAUGAACGCUGGCGGCGUGCUUAACACAUGCAAGUCGAACGAUUAAACCAACUUCGGUUGGAUAUAAAGUGGCGAACGGGUGAGUAACACGUGACCAACCUACCCCGUGCACCGGGACAACCACCGGAAACAGUGGCUAAUACCGGAUAAUGCUAGAUAAGCGCAUGUUUUUCUAGCCAAAGCACAUACGGCACGGGAUGGGGUCGCGGCCCAUCAGGUUGUAGGCGGGGUAACGGCCCACCUAGCUUUCGACGGGUAGCCGAGCUGAGAGGCUGAUCGGCCACAUUGGGACUGAGAUACGGCCCAGACUCCUACGGGAGGCAGCAGUGGGGAAUUUUGCGCAAUGGGGGAAACCCUGACGCAGCAACGCCGCGUGCGGGAUGAAGGCCUUCGGGUUGUAAACCGCUUUCAGUAGGAAAGAACACAAUGACGGUACCUACAGAAGAAGCCCCGGCUAACUACGUGCCAGCAGCCGCGGUAAUACGUAGGGGGCAAGCGUUAUCCGGAUUCAUUGGGCGUAAAGCGCGCGUAGGUGGACAUCUAAGCGGGACCUCUAAUCCAAGGGCUCAACCUUUACGGCCGGGUUCCGAACUGGAUGUCUCGAGUUGGGUAGGGGAGGUCGGAAUUCCCGGUGUAGCGGUGGAAUGCGCAGAUAUCGGGAAGAACACCGAUGGCGAAGGCAGACCUCUGGGCCUUUAACUGACACUAAGGCGCGAAAGCUGGGGGAGCAAACAGGAUUAGAUACCCUGGUAGUCCCAGCCGUAAACGAUGGGCGCUAGG
rnacentral:rRNA from 1 species